rnacentral:rRNA from 1 species
ACUCCUGCGGGAGGCAGCAGUGGGGAAUAUUGGACAAUGGGCGCAAGCCUGAUCCAGCCAUGCCGCGUGAGUGAUGAAGGCCCUAGGGUUGUAAAGCUCUUUCACCGGUGAAGAUAAUGACGGUAACCGGAGAAGAAGCCCCGGCUAACUUCGUGCCAGCAGCCGCGGUAAUACGAAGGGGGCUAGCGUUGUUCGGAUUUACUGGGCGUAAAGCGCACGUAGGCGGACUAUUAAGUCAGGGGUGAAAUCCCGGGGCUCAACCCCGGAACUGCCUUUGAUACUGGUAGUCUUGAGUUCGAGAGAGGUGAGUGGAAUUCCGAGUGUAGAGGUGAAAUUCGUAGAUAUUCGGAGGAACACCAGUGGCGAAGGCGGCUCACUGGCUCGAUACUGACGCUGAGGUGCGAAAGCGUGGGGAGCAAACAGGAUUAGAUACCCCGGUAGUCCCAUGA